rnacentral:lncRNA from 1 species
AUCCCGUUGCUGCUCUGCAGGCUCACAGGUGGCUCUGCCGUGGAUGUGGGCGCCCCAGGCCCCGCUAGGAGUUAGCCAACUCUCUGUGCUCCGGGGCGUGGAUUUGGAGCCCCCGCCUCUCCUACCCUUGCUUUUGGCUUGGGAUGGGGGGCGUGGGGCAGGGCCUGCCGUCGGGGGAGACGCGCAGAGGGGCGCUUCCAUUCCCCAGCCACCUACAAACGACUCAGGGGGAUGCGGGCCAAGCGCCUCACCAAAUGCAACCCAGCUCCAAGCUCACAGCAUAAAUGAUGAAAGUUUCCUGUGAAGCAUAACAAUCCCUGAUUGUGAAAGUACCCCACAAGCAUCGUUAACUAUAAAGUAAGGAAAAGUAUGAAAGAACCAUCUGGU